rnacentral:rRNA from 1 species
AGCGAACGCUGGCGGCAGGCUUAACACAUGCAAGUCGAACGCCAUCUUCGGAUGGAGUGGCAGACGGGUGAGUAACGCGUGGGAACGUACCCUUUGGUUCGGAAUAUUCUCGGGAAACUGGGAGCAAUACCGGAUAAGCCCUACGGGGGGAAAGAUUUUAUCGCCAAAGGAGCGGCCCGCGUCAGAUUAGGUAGUUGGUGGGGUAAAGGCCUACCAAGGCAUCGAUCAGUAGCUGGUCUGAGAGGACGAUCAGCCACACUGGGACUGAGACACGGCCCAGACUCCUACGGGAGGCAGCAGUGGGGAAUUUUGGACAAUGGGGGCAACCCUGAUCCAGCAAUGCCGCGUGAGUGAAGAAGGCCUUCGGGUUGUAAAGCUCUUUUGUCAGGGAAGAAAUAGCAGCUCUAACACAGCAUGCGAAUGACGGUACCUGAAGAAUAAGCACCGGCUAACUACGUG